AUUGAACGCUGGCGGCAUGCUUUACACAUGCAAGUCGAACGGUAACAGGUUAAGCUGACGAGUGGCGAACGGGUGAGUAAUGCAUCGGAACGUGCCCGGUCGUGGGGGAUAACGCAGCGAAAGCUGCGCUAAUACCGCAUACGAUCUGAGGAUGAAAGCGGGGGACCGUAAGGCCUCGCGCGAUCGGAGCGGCCGAUGUCAGAUUAGGUAGUUGGGGGGGUAAAGGCUCACCAAGCCGACGAUCUGUAGCUGGUCUAAGAGGACGACCAGCCACACGGGGACUGAGACACGGCCCAGACUCCUACGGGAGGCAGCAGUGGGGAAUUUUGGACAAUGGGCGCAAGCCUGAUCCAGCAAUGCCGCGUGCAGGAAGAAGGCCUUCGGGUUGUAAACUGCUUUUGUACGGAGCGAAAAGGCCCUCUCUAAUACAGGGGGCUCAUGACGGUACCGUAAGAAUAAGCACCGGCUAACUACGUGCCAGCAGCCGCCGUAA
rnacentral:rRNA from 1 species